rnacentral:rRNA from 1 species
AUUGAACGCUGGCGGCAGGCUUAACACAUGCAAGUCGAGCGAGGGGCGGACGGGAGAGUAAUGUCUGGGAAACUGCAUGAUGGAGGGGGAUAACUACUGGAAAAGGUAGCUAAUACCGCAUACUAUCGGAGGAGCCCAGAUGGGAUUAGCGAGUAGGUGGGGUAAUGGUUCACCUAGGCGACGAUCCCUAGCUGGUCUGAGAGGGUGACCAGCCACACUGGAACUGAGACACGGUCCAGACUCCUACGGGAGGCAGCAGUGGGGAAUAUUGCACAAUGGGCGCAAGCCUGAUGCAGCCAUGCCGCGUGUGUGAAGAAGGCCUUCGGGUUGUAAAGCACUUUCAGUGAGGAGGCGUUACUCGCAGAAGAAGCACCGGCUAACUCCGUGCCAGCAGCCGCGGUAAUUC